GCCGGGGUGGCGGAACUGGUAGACGCACAGGACUUAAAAUCCUGCGGGGGUUUCCCCGUGCCGGUUCGAUUCCGGCCCUCGGUA
rnacentral:tRNA from 1 species